CUGCUCAAUGAUAAAUAUUUAAUAGCUGCAGUAUAAAUAACUGUACAAAGGUAGCAUAAUAAAUUGUUUUUUAAUUAAAAACUAGAAUGAAAGAUUAAAUGAAAUAUAAAUUAUAUCAAUUAAAAAAAUUAAAUUUAUUAUUUAAGUUAAAAAACUUAAAUUUUAAUAAAAGACGACAAGACCCUAUAGAAUUUAAUUAAUUUAAUUAAUUAAUUUAAUUAAAUUAAUUUAUUUGGGGAAAUUUUAAAAUUUAAAAAAUUUUUAUUUAUUUAAAACAAAAAUAAAUGAAAAAAUUAUCUUUAAUAAAAAUUAAUAAAAUCAAAUUACCUUAGGGAUAACAGCAUAAUUUUUUUUUUAAGAACAAAUUUAUAAAAAAGAUUAUGACCUCGAUGUUGAAUUAAGAUAAAAUUAUAAAGAAAAAAUUAUAAAAUUUAAGUCUGUUCGACU
rnacentral:rRNA from 1 species